UUUUUUUUUUCCCUUUGAAGUUAUCCACAAGAGAGAAAAGAUCAGAAUUAGAAUGCUUUAUAAAAGUAUUUAAAACUUUAUAUGUUGACACCUGAGAAAUGUAGCUCCACUCACCCAAAAUCAGGUUAUCUCUUUUAAUUUCUCUUCUAACCAACUGAAAUCAGGAGUAUAUGUAUUCUGGAAGGCCAAGACAAUAUUACAUUUCUUGUUUAUCAAGUUAAUUAAACCUCAGAAAAUAAAGGUAUUUUGUAGAAGAGUCAUAGUAGUGCUUACAUAUUACAUGUCAAUCUUCACAAUUUUUAAGCAUUAGAAUAUAAGCUCUAUUAACCACUGUGUCUCCCACAGAUAGAACAAUGCCUAUGAUACUCAUCUUUGUUUUAGGAGUAAAUGAGUCAUUUUUAAAUGACAUGAAAUUGUUUAAUUGUCAUUAUCAUUUCUGAGGUUAUUCAUAUUCUAAAUACAUGUUGACUCCAAAUGGCCAAGAACUUGCACGAGGUUAACAGAAGAAUCAGGCAUCCUGCAUUUUGUCUUGCUUUAAGAAUAAAAGAAUUUCCUUCCUAGACAUAAAGAAAUGGAGUUUGACUGUGAACACCAAUUAUGGAACCUAAUUCUAUAGAAAUACACUGAAAAUAACGGUGUAAAUCACUAAAGCAAGUUGAUAACUCACAACAAACAUCAGCAUGGGACUGUACCAAAUGGAACCAUCCACAGGUUCGCUGCCUCAGGUAACAAGCUUUAAGCAAUGCUUGUAAUAAGCCCUUGGGAACGAUUAUGACUAGAGAAGACAUGAGUAGAGUCUAGGUGUCUAAAUGGCAUCAGGACAUAAAGAAGUCAAGAAGUGCAGACCAGAUUUGGCAGCUAAUUAUAGAUUACUAAGUAGCAUCAUAUUAUCAAUCAUAUGAAUUUAUUAAAUCAACUUUGAAACUUUAUUCAGAUGAACUUACCCAAAUUUCUUUGAGACAAAGCAAAGGGAACAUAUUUUCCUAAAAGAUUUGCAAUAUGAGUCCUCCUCUCUGCUUAAAAGCAUACUACAUUAAAAUAUCAGACUGAUACGUCAUCUCAUCUUAAAUAUUUCCUAUAAGCUUCAUCUUCCUGUUUUCUUUAGCAAUCUCUAUUCCCCUUCUGUCCUUAGAAAGCAAAGAGUAUUUGAUGCUAAUGUAUUCUGUUGCAAUAUAUACACAUUUCUCCCUUGUUCCAGCUUUCCUAAAGAAAUGAAAAAUAGCAUUGAACCAUGUUUCUGGCAAGGUCAAUGCUAUUUGGCUAUAAAUUUUCUGUGAUUUAGCACGUGAUUUUGGUUGACAAUUUCUACUUUUACUAUGCAGUAUAACUAAUUAAAUAUUAAGAGGCUUUGUUGUCAUGCUGCUGAUAAAAAUGACACUUGCAAAAAUUACUAAUGACUAAUUCUACAAGAAAGGAUAUGUGGGGUUUUCUUUCCUACCCACCAGGACUUCUGAAUUAUGGAAAGUGAGGUCUGGACAAGAUAAACAAGGCUGGAAGAGUGGAAUCAGGGGCUGGACCCUGAUUUGAGUUAGGAGAUUUAAAUCUAUGUGCUUAUCAAUAGAUUUAAAUGUUAACCAAAUAAUAAUAUCCCUGAAAUUGUAUAUAAUUAAGAAUACAUAAAAUUUACAUUAGAGGAUAAUGCCUUUUAAUAUAAAAUUGUUAUUCAAACGCUGCAGUAAAUUCCUGAAUAAUGUACAACUUUUCAAUAAAACAUCCACUCAAAG
ensembl:lncRNA